rnacentral:rRNA from 1 species
UACGAAGGGGGCUAGCGUUGCUCGGAAUCACUGGGCGUAAAGGGCGCGUAGGCGGCCAUUCAAGUCGGAGGUGAAAGCCCAGGGCUCAACCCUGGAAUUGCCUUCGAUACUGUCUGGCUAGAGACCGGAAGAGGUAAGUGGAACUGCGAGUGUAGAGGUGAAAUUCGUAGAUAUUCGCAAGAACACCCAGUGGCGAAGGCGGCUUACUGGUCCGAUACUGACGCUGAGGCACGAAAGCGUGGGGAGCAAACAGG